GGGAUUGUAGCUCAGUGGUAGAGCACUUGCCUUCUAUGGUGAGACACAGGGUUCAAUCCUCAGUACCA
rnacentral:tRNA from 1 species